UCUAGAACUCGAGAUAUGGGCUGAACACCAAAUAGUGUCUGGGCUACAUGAUAGAUUCAAAUUUCUCUUUAGUUGCUAAGAUUUAAGCUUAAAAAUGGUAGUUUUGAAUCUUGAACUCUUCAUGAAUGUUUUAGGCCUAUGUCUUGGAUUUCCAUC
rfam:Populus trichocarpa scaffold_13_contig_109, whole genome shotgun sequence.